UGCGCCUUGCCACGCCCGCUCAGAAACUACAAAGGAAUUGGACGGGGGCCCGCACAAGCGGAGGAGCAUGUGGUUUAAUUCGAUGAUACGCGAGGAACCCUUACCGUGGGCUUAAAUGACUUAAUGACGUACUGGGAAACUGGUAUUUCUUCGGACAUUUUGCAAGGUGCUGCAUGGUUGUCGUCAGCUCGUGCCGUGAGGUGUCGGGUUAAGUCCCAUAACGAGCGCAACCCCUAUUGUUAGUUGCCAUCAGGUCAUGCUGGGGACUCUAACAAAACUGCCCGCGUAAGCGUGGAGGAAGGUGGGGAUGACGUCAAAUCAGCACGGCCCUUACGUCCAGGGCUACACACGUGCUACAAUGGCCGGUACAGAGGGCAGCCACUUGGUGACAAGGAGCAAAUCUCAAAAGCCGGUCUCAGUUCGGAUCGGAGUCUGCAACUCGACUCCGUGAAGUUGGAUUCGCUAGUAAUCGUAGAUCAGCAAUGCUACGGUGAAUACGUUCCCGGGCCUU
rnacentral:rRNA from 1 species